AAAUGUACCGGGGCUAAACAUAUUACCGAAACUGUGGAUGAACCUCUUUAGAGGUUCGUGGUAGGAGAGCGUUCUAAGGGCGGUGAAGUCAGACCGGAAGGACUGGUGGAGCGCUUAGAAGUGAGAAGGCCGGUAUGAGUAGCGAAAGAAGGGUGAGAAUCCCUUCCACCGAAUAUCUAAGGUUUCCUGAGGAAGGCUCGUCCGCUCAGGGUUAGUCGGGACCUAAGCCGAGGCCGAUAGGCGUAGGCGAUGGAC
rnacentral:rRNA from 1 species